rnacentral:rRNA from 1 species
GACGAACGCUGGCGGCGUGCUUAACACAUGCAAGUCGAACGGAAAGGCCCCUUUCGGGUGGUACUCUCGUGGCGAACGGGUGUGUAACACGUGAGUAUCCUGCCCCUUACUUUGGGAUAUCUUCAGGGAACACGGGCUAAUACAGCGUAGGAGCUCCCGCGCCACGUUGGGGGUUGGAAAGUUUCUGGGGUGUGGGAUGGAGUCGCGGCUUAUCACCUUGUUGGGGGGGUAGUGGCUUACCAAGGCUUUGACGGGUAGACGGCCUGUGAGGGUGACCGGCCACAUUGGGGCUGAGAUACGGCCCAGACUCCUACGGGAGGCAGGAGGGGGGAAUAUUGCACAAUGGGGGGAAGCCUGAUGCAGCAACGCCGGGUGCGGGAUGACGGCCUUUGGGUUGGAAACCGGUUUCGCUCAUGACGAAGCUGUGUGUGACGGUAGUGGGUAAAGAAGCACCGGCUAACUACGUG